GAAGGCAGAGGCUUAACCAUCUGAGCCACCCAGGCGCCCUGAGUAGGCCAUCUUGAAGAAGACCCUCUGCUCCCACUCCAGCCACCCCAGCAGAUGCUGCACAGGGCAGGGAUGAGCUAUCCUCUCCAAGACCUAAGUAAUUUACAGCUUCAGGAGCAAAUACAUCCGUUUAGAUCCUUUUUAUGUUAGCAGCUGAGAGAAAUACUACUAAUCACAGACUUUUAUAUAUGAUGAAGGAUAAGCCUCUUACAAGUCUAUGUGGAAUUAUAAACACCACGUGUGACUGUACAGAAAUCUCCACUUCUCAGGACUCACUCAAGUCAGGAAUCAACUUUUCCAUCAGCACUGCCUUUCCUGCAGCGAUCAGUGCCCAGUUCAUCCAAAUCUUCCUGCCUCUCAUUUCCUCAGAAUUCUACAUUCAGAAAAACAAAUUCAACAUUUCAACUUAGUGCACAUUUGUUAGAAUACAGCUGACUAAUGGGCAUUAACAUUUCUUUUUCUCCAGAAUUUCUCCCCUUAGGUCUUUCUUGAACCUCACCAAAUUUCAAAAAUAAAACUUCCUGUUAAGUGCUCUCUCUGUUCAAGAAUCUGCUCUCACUCAGAUCAAGGGCUUUGUCAAGUGAUCCUCUCCCAGUUCAGUCUCUCUCUAGAUAGUGAUCUGUUCAAUUCUGUCUAGUCAGGUCAGACUUCUUCACUGUUCCUCACAUGUAGCAUUCAUGCCCACUCUUGUGUCUGUGUACUUCUUUUGUCCUGAAAUAUCCUCCUGCCUGGUCACAUCAAUCUUUGUUCAACGUAUAAGCAGCUAAGCAUCUGCAUAUAAAUGCAUGCAUUUGCUAAAAUAUAAUUCAAUUUCCAUUUCCCUAAUGAAGUCUCAUGUCCAUAAUGAUCUAAUUCUUAUUUAAUGUUUCACUAACUUGAAAUGGUACCUGUUCAUUUUACUUUUUAAUCAUAACUUGGUAUUGUUAAAACAUUUUUACAUUAAUUGUGCUAUUUGUGCCCUUAGGGACCUAGAAAUCUUAAAACAGUCUGAUCUUGAUUCAGAAGGCUGUGAGGAAGCAUUCAAAACUUUUGUACUACAGGGAAAUGUGAUGGGAGCUGCAAACUUUUGACUCCAUCUUCUCUCUAUAGGAUAGAUAACAAUUGGGAUACUGUACCAUUCCCAAUGUUUAAAAUUCUUUGGCAGUGUUCUAUAGGUUUCAGUUAAAUAAUGGUCUAGCACUGACCUGCCUUUACAAUCUUCUCUACUGCAAAUUUCUGCCGCUCUUCCCUCUGCUUUAUGCCCUUCACUUCUGCUACAUAGAACUCUUUCCAAAUCCAUGAACUCAUCAUGCUUCCAGGAUAAAAGAAAGAUGAGCACCCUAGAAGAAGGAGAACCUGAGAGCAGACAAUUACUUCAGUAGAAAGUAAAAUGUUUAGUCAAAUCUAUAUAUAAAUAAUCAUUCAUGAAUCUGAAAGGUAUCAGUAAGUCAUUGAUGGAAUGAGCAAUAAAAGGACUUAUAUGCAGUUAAUGGUUCAACUAAUGAAGAGGGACUGGAUUACUUGCAGGUUGGUAUUUAGGAGAAAAUUUAAAAUCCUGUUGUAUUACUACUCAUCAUAUUCUUUUAUAUGAAACUUUUGUACAUCUCUAGAUUUCUCAAAUUUUUAUGCUGGAAAGCUAAACUACUAUACCUUUUGAGCUACCUGAACGACACACUUGGACUCAUUCUGGUGGCAGUGACCAGUGUACAGACAGCACAUUAUAAAAAAAUAAAGUAGUCUCCUUAGGAAGUAGUCUGAGAUUUCACAUGUAAGUGUGAUCAGUGGCAAAAGGGAAAAAAAAUGGCCUGUGACACCUGCAACCAUGCCCAAUGGUCAUCUCAAUAAAACCAAAAAAUUGAGGAAGAACAUCCAAAAUGAUCUUUUACUUC